rnacentral:rRNA from 1 species
CCUACGGGUGGCAGCAGUGAGGAAUAUUGGUCAAUGGUCGGGAGACUGAACCAGCCAAGCCGCGUGAGGGAUGAAGGUACAGAGUAUCGUAAACCUCUUUUGUCAGGGAACAAAGGCGGGGACGUGUCCCCGGAUGAGUGUAUCUGAAGAAAAAGCAUCGGCUAACUCCGUGCCAGCAGCCGCGGUAAUACGGAGGAUGCGAGCGUUAUCCGGAUUUAUUGGGUUAAAGGGGUGCGCGGGCGGUCUGUUAAGUCAGCGGUAAAAGCCCGGGGCUCAACCCCGGCCCGCCGUUGAAACUGGCAGUCUCGAGUUGGAGAGAAGUAUGCGGAAGGCGCGGUGUAGCGGUGAAAUGCAUAGAUAUCGCGCAGAACUCCGAUUGCGAAGGCAGCAUGCCGGCUCCACACUGACGCUGAGGCACGAAAGCGUGGGUAUCGAACAGGAUUAGAUACCCGAGUAGUC